CCUACGGGAGGCUGCAGUGGGGAAUAUUGGACAAUGGGGGCAACCCUGAUCCAGCCAUGCCGCGUGUGUGAAGAAGGCCCUCGGGUUGUAAAGCACUUUCAGUGAGGAAGAACGCCUGGUGGUUAAUACCCAUCAGGAAAGACAUCACUCACAGAAGAAGCACCGGCUAACUCCGUGCCAGCAGCCGCGGUAAUACGGAGGGUGCGAGCGUUAAUCGGAAUUACUGGGCGUAAAGCGCGCGUAGGUGGCUUGAUAAGCCGGUUGUGAAAGCCGCGGGCUCAACCUGGGAACGGCAUCCGGAACUGUCAAGCUAGAGUGCAGGAGAGGAAGGUAGAAUUCCCGGUGUAGCGGUGAAAUGCGUAGAGAUCGGGAGGAAUACCAGUGGCGAAGGCGGCCUUCUGGACUGAAACUGACACUGAGGUGCGAAAGCGUGGGUAGCAAACAGGAUUAGAUACCCUUGUAGUC
rnacentral:rRNA from 1 species